UUGAAUUUUAAUGAAGAGUUUGGUUGUAGCUGGCCCAUUCAUUUGGGCAUGUGCACACCUUCCUCUUUCAUCCCACACACACCUGUGAACCUGUGAGACAGAGAUGGGGAAUUUACUUGCUGCUUUUUGGAAUACAAAGGCAAUAGGUUAUUGGACCCCCCCUCUGUCUACUCAAUUAAUAUAAACUCAAUUUAUUUUAAAACGAAUGUAAUGGAUGUAACACAUCUCAUACUAAGUUUCAACAACGGAUCUCUUGGCUCUCGCAUCGAUGAAGAACGCAGCGAAAUGCGAUAAGUAAUGUGAAUUGCAGAAUUCAGUGAAUCAUCGAAUCUUUGAACGCACCUUGCGCUCCUUGGUAUUCCUUGGAGCAUGCCUGUUUGAGUAUCAUGAAUUCUUCAAAGUAAAUCUUUUGUUAAUUCAAUUGGUUUUCACUUUGGUAUUGGAGGUCUUUUGCAGCUUCACACCUGCUCCUCUUUGUGCAUUAGCUGGAUCUCAGUGUUAUGCUUGGUUCCACUCGGCGUGAUAAAUUAUCUAUCGCUGAGGACACUGUAAAAAGGUGGCCAAGGUAAAUGCAGAUGAACCGCUUCCAAUAGUCCAUUGACUUGGACAAUACCUUUAUGAUCUGAUCUCAAAUCAGGUAGGACUACCCGCUGAACUUAAGCAUAUCAAUAAGCGGAGGAAUCGGCAUCUUGGUCAUUUAGAGGAAGUAAAAGUCGUAACAAGGUCUCCGUUGGUGAACCAGCGGAGGGAUCAUUACCGAGUUUACAACUCCCAAACCCCUGUGAACAUACCACUUGUUGCCUCGGCGGAUCAGCCCGCUCCCGGUAAAACGGGACGGCCCGCCAGAGGACCCCUAAACUCUGUUUCUAUAUGUAACUUCUGAGUAAAACCAUAAAUAAAUCA
rnacentral:misc_RNA from 1 species